UGAGCCUCAUGACGUUGGGGUGGUCGAAUUCCUUCAUGCAGACAGCUUCACUCAGGAAAUCCUCCAGCUCUGAUCUUGUACAGAUGGCAACUUAGGAGAGACGGGAGCCUAGAGGUGGAAGUGACUUCCGGUCGCUGCUGGGUCUAUUUAUUUUGAUGCCUCAAUUAUUAAGUCAAUCUGACCUUCAUUCAACAUGAGAGCAGUGCCCCUGGAUUCAAUCCCUUGUACUCAAGUGUCUGGCACGGGCUCCGUUUUCUAAAUGGUACUUUCCCAGGGCACGGGGAGGAGACUUGGGUCAGGGACUGGAGCCCCACAUGGGCACGCACGCGUCCACACACUCACUUUUCAUUGUCUUCACAGCAACCUUGAGGAUGGAGUCAUCCUGGUUGAGCUGGCCCUCCAUCACCGCACCAAACUCUCCUGCGGCAGAAGAAGAGAGACACGGAUCUCAGCGGGACCCACGGGGAUGGUAUUUCCUUCAGUUGGCUGAGAAUUGGGGAGAGAGGAAUCUCAGGACUCUGGGGGACCGUGCAUGCGUGCGUGUGGGAGACUCACCUUCGCCCAGUGUCUUCCCUAAGGCCACCUUGUGCCGAUCUACCAUGACGUCUCGGAGCUUCUCCUUCAGCUCUUCGCUGAUGCCCAGGCUGUUCACUGAAAAGAGAGGGCGGAGCCACGAGGCAGGGUUGGUGCUCACGCAGUGUGUGCCAAGAGGGACAUACCACGUCAUGUGGCUGAAUUGCUUCCACAUUGGUUCAAAAUUAGCUCCUGCCCCGAGCACUUGACCCGUCCCACCUCCUGUAGCCUCAAAACCUGCUCCAUAGAAGCAACUACCAGGUGAAAAACCUGGCCACAAUCUUGCUCCACUGGGCACCCUAAGUGGUCAGCACCUUCUAUACCAGCUGUUAAAUACAGUUCUUCAGAGCCUGAAGGUUACUAGCACAAAGACACGACAAGAGUUUAGAGGACAUGGGAAGCCUAAUUAGCUAAUCACCCAGACUUGAUAAUUACACGCUGUACACAAGUAUCUAAUUAUCCCCCUGUGUUCCAGAACACUGUACCCCAUAAAUAUUAUAGUUGUGUGAUUACAAAAUAGGUAAGGUCAGGUAUGGUAUAACUUUCCUCUAGUCCUCCGCAGGGAGGAAAAACAGGCAAACCUCUGCCAGCUGAGGACAGCCUGUGCUACAUAAGAGGCCAGUCUCAAAAACACGCAUCCUUAGCAUUCAUUAAGCAGAGGCAGGCAUAUCUCUGUGAAUUUAAGGCCAGCCUGGUCUACAUAAUGAAUUUGAGGUUAGUGGGGGCUACAUCCUGAGACCCUGUCUCAAACAAUAAACCUCUACCAACAACAAAACAGAAUCCAUAACCUUCAUAUAAGAAUAUUAUUAGGAGCCUAGCACUCGGGAGGCAGGGACAGGAGGAUCUCUGUGAGUUUGAGACCAGCCUGGUCUACAGAACAAGUGCCAAGAUAGGCUCCAAAGCUACACAGAGAAACCCUGUCUCGAAAAAAAAAAUUUAUUAGUUAGUGCAGAAGACACUGUAUUCAAUUCAUUAAAAAAGUCUUAAUAUUCAGCCCAACCUACCCAUGGUCCUAGCCCCUCACUGAGGGAUUCUAGGCAAGGGCUCUACCACUGAGCAUUGGGCUACAUCCCCAGACCUCUUUUUACUUUUUCUUUGAGACAGUCUGACCAAGUUACACAGGCUAGCCUUGAACUCAACAUAGCCCAGACAAACCUGCAACUCUUCAUAUUCCUACUUUAGCCUCUCAUGAUCUGACACUGUGCUCCAAUAAAGAUAUUAACUUA